GUUACCGUGAGGACCUGGAGGAAUGAUCGACUACAACCUUAUCGUGGAUGAUCCCUUAAAUACACCACGAGCACCUUGCUUUGUGUGGACGAGCACAGCCACAAUGAGAUGACCUCCAUCUUGAGACUGUCGACGGACGAAGCUGAAAAUCUUGAGAAUAUUUUCUCCCCAGCUGUGACGGCUAAACCCUCUGAAGGCCGCGGUGGCGUCCAGAGUGACUCACUGGAUGCCGUGAUUGAUUUAAGGGAGAAGGAGAGGAGAAAGACACAGAAGUAACAGGGAGAAUCACAGAGAAGUGUGGCAGCAGACAGAAGUGUGUUCAGAUGGUUUCACUGGACAUUUUGUCUUUUUCGGUUGGCAAAUGACAACGUUGAGAUUAAGAAGCAUCACUCGGAGACCUGACCUGACAACAACAUUAGACGUGAGUGACGCCUUUACUGUCAG